rnacentral:rRNA from 1 species
UACAGAGGUCCCAAGCGUUGUUCGGAUUCAUUGGGCGUAAAGGGUGCGUAGGCGGCGCGCUAAGUCGGGUGUGAAAUCUCGGAGCUUAACUCCGAAACUGCAUUCGAUACUGCCGUGCUUGAGGACUGGAGAGGAGACUGGAAUUUACGGUGUAGCGGUGAAAUGCGUAGAUAUCGUAAGGAAGACCAGUGGCGAAGGCGGGUCUCUGGACCAGCACUGACACUGAGGCACGAAAGCGUGGGGAGCAAACAGG